rnacentral:rRNA from 1 species
UACGAAGGGGGCUAGCGUUGCUCGGAACCACUGGGCGUAAAGGGUGCGUAGGCGGUUCUUUAAGUCAGGGGUGAAAUCCUGGAGCUCAACUCCAGAACUGCCUUUGAUACUGAAGAUCUUGAGUCCGGGAGAGGUGAGUGGAACUGCGAGUGUAGAGGUGAAAUUCGUAGAUAUUCGCAAGAACACCAGUGGCGAAGGCGGCUCACUGGCCCGGUACUGACGCUGAGGCACGAAAGCGUGGGGAGCAAACAGG